rnacentral:rRNA from 1 species
UACGAAGGGGGCUAGCGUUGUUCGGAAUCACUGGGCGUAAAGCGCACGUAGGCGGAUGUGUCAGUCAGGGGUGAAAGCCCGGGGCUCAACCCCGGAACUGCUUUCGAAACUGCUGAGCUAGAGUGCGGAAGAGGCAACUGGAAUUCCCAGUGUAGCGGUGAAAUGCGUAGAUAAUUGGGAAGAACACCGGAGGCGAAGGCGGGUUGACUGGGCCGACACUGACGCUGAGGCGCGAAGCCAGGGAGCGAACGGG